GGGUCCUGGACACUAUCUCCUGGAUGCCAAUGAGUGGCUGAGAGCUGAAGCUCCAUGGACGCUCAAGGCUCUUGUGGUGACAGCUGCCAGGCAUCUCCCUGUUUCACUCUGUGGCAAAACUGCUCCAUGGUGUCCUCUGCACUCAGCUCCAGUUCCUCUCCUGUGAAACCUUCCCCUGUCAGGAGGUCUUUGGGGACCACUGAACCAACGCUGCUCCUGUCAAGGUCAUCAGUCAUCCCCAUGUUGCUGCAUCCUGUGGUCAAUAUCAGUCACUUCCCAGGCCCCAUCUCACUUGACCCAUCACAGAAGCCUUCGACUCUGUUGAUAUUUGUACCAUGAACUUUAUUCCACAAAUAAUAAAGAAAGGUUUUGAAAACCA